rnacentral:rRNA from 1 species
AACGAACCCUGGCGGCAUGCCUAACACAUGCAAGUCGAACGAGACCUUCGGGUCUAUUGGCGCACGGGUGCGUAACGCGUGGGAACCUGCCCUUAGGUUCGGAAUAACUCCCCGAAAGGGGUGCUAAUACCGGAUAAUGUCUUCGGACCAAAGAUUUAUCGCCUUUGGAUGGGCCCGCGUUGGAUUAGCUAGUUGGUAGGGUAAAAGCCUACCAAGGCGACGAUCCAUAGCUGGUCUGAGAGGAUGAUCAGCCACACUGGGACUGAGACACGGCCCAGACUCCUACGGGAGGCAGCAGUGGGGAAUAUUGGAAAAUGGGCGAAAGCCUGAUCCAGCAAUGCCGCGUGAGUGAUGAAGGCCUUAGGGUUGUAAAGCUCUUUUACCCGGGAUGAUAAUGACAGUACCGGGAGAAUAAGCUCCGGCUAACUCCGUG